UCCUACGGGAGGCAGCAGUAGGGAAUCUUCCGCAAUGGACGAAAGUCUGACGGAGCAACGCCGCGUGAGUGAUGAAGGCUUUCGGGUCGUAAAACUCUGUUGUUAGGGAAGAACAAGUGCUAGUUGAAUAAGCUGGCACCUUGACGGUACCUAACCAGAAAGCCACGGCUAACUACGUGCCAGCAGCCGCGGUAAUACGUAGGUGGCAAGCGUUAUCCGGAUUUAUUGGGCGUAAAGCGAGCGCAGGUGGUUUAAUAAGUCUGAUGUAAAAGGCAGUGGCUCAACCAUUGUGUGCAUUGGAAACUGUUAGACUUGAGUGCAGUAGAGGAGAGUGGAAUUCCAUGUGUAGCGGUGAAAUGCGUAGAUAUAUGGAGGAACACCGGUGGCGAAAGCGGCUCUCUGGACUGUAACUGACACUGAGGCUCGAAAGCGUGGGUAGCAAACAGGAUUAGAUACCCUGGUAGUCCACGCCGUAAACGAUGAGUGCUAGUUGUUUGGGGCUAUCCAGCCCUAAGUGACGCAGCAAACGCAUUAAGCACUCCGCCUGGGGAGUACGACCGCAAGGUUGAAACUCAAAGGAAUUGACGGA
rnacentral:rRNA from 1 species